GUUUAGCCCUGAUUGAACGACUUGUUUGAGCUCUUCUGAGAGCCGAAAAAAGCGAGUAGUGAAAGAAGGAAAUUGC
rnacentral:misc_RNA from 1 species